rnacentral:rRNA from 1 species
GACGAAAGACAUUUAAUAAUAAAAACUCUUGUAGAUAUUAUAUAUAAUACUAAUAGGUUAAAUUAAAACUUAUCUUGUACCUUAAAUAUCUAAUAUAUAAAUUAUUAAUUAAAACAAGGAUUAGAUACCCUUCUAUUAAUAACCCAUUAAAAGAGUUGGAAAGUACGAACAAUAGUUUAAACACCAAAGAAUUUGGCGGUGUCUUAGUUAAUUAGGGGAACCUGUCCCUUAAAUCGAUAAUCCACGAAUGCCUUUCCUAACUUUGAAACCCAGUUAGUGUACUGCCGUCUCAAGUAUACCUUUAUGAGAGUAUACAACAAAUUUACUUAUAUCAUACGUCAGGUCAAAGUGCAGCUUAUAGUUAGGUGGAGAUGGGUUACAAUCUAAAUAGAGAAUACGGAUAAUAGUAAUAAACUACUAUUUGAAGGUGGACUUAACAGUAAUUAUUUAUACUAUGAUGAAAACUAUAUAAGACAAGUACAAAUCGCCCGUCACUCCCUCAGGG